UGCUUAACACAUGCAAGUCGAACGGUGAAGAGGAGCUUGCUCCUUGGAUCAGUGGCGAACGGGUGAGUAACACGUGAGCAAUCUGCCCUUGACUCUGGGAUAACUGCGGGAAACUGUAGCUAAUACCGGAUAUUACCUUGGAAGGCAUCUUCUGGGGUGGAAAGAAUUUUGGUCAAGGAUGAGCUCGCGGCCUAUCAGCUAGUUGGUGAGGUAAUGGCUCACCAAGGCGACGACGGGUAGCCGGCCUGAGAGGGUGACCGGCCACACUGGGACUGAGACACGGCCCAGACUCCUACGGGAGGCAGCAGUGGGGAAUAUUGCACAAUGGGCGCAAGCCUGAUGCAGCAACGCCGCGUGAGGGACGACGGCCUUCGGGUUGUAAACCUCUUUUAGUAGGGAAGAAGCGACUGGGUUUUCCUGGGAGUGACGGUACCUGCAGAAAAAGCACCGGCUAACUACGUGCCAGCAGCCGCGGUAAUACGUAGGGUGCAAGCGUUGUCCGGAAUUAUUGGGCGUAAAGAGCUCGUAGGCGGUUUGUCGCGUCUGCUGUGAAAACCCGAGGCUCAACCUCGGGCCUGCAGUGGGUACGGGCAGACUAGAGUGCGGUAGGGGAGAUUGGAAUUCCUGGUGUAGCGGUGGAAUGCGCAGAUA
rnacentral:rRNA from 1 species